rnacentral:lncRNA from 1 species
CUAAUUCUUAGUCUAUAAAAAAGGGGACCCCUCUCUUGGACGUUCCAUGAUCAAUUUUUUUGUAGUUUUUUUAUUUUCAAAACUUUUUCUCCUCCUCUCUUCUUCCUCCAGAUGUCCUAUUACUUUGGAGUAUCCAAGGUACUUGUAGAAGAAGAAAGAUGUCAGCUGUCGAAGUUAUUCGCAGACUAGCAUCUUCAAGCCCC